GGAGUCGUCGUGGCGGACCGCGAUAAUGCAAUCGCACUGCAGAGGUCAGGGGUUCGAUUCCCCUCGGCUCCACCA
rnacentral:tRNA from 1 species